rnacentral:tRNA from 1 species
ACUUAAAUAGUUUAUUAUUAAAAUUUUGAUUUGUGAUAUCGAAGAUGUAUUUUUUUUACUUUAAGUU